rnacentral:rRNA from 1 species
GCAAGUCGCACGCGAAAGAGGGGCAACUCUCGAGUAGAGUGGCGCACGGGUGCGUAACACGUAACUAACGUACCCCAUCGCUGGGGAUAACUCCGUGAAAACGGAGCUAAUACCGAAUAAUCUGACGGGGCCUGCGGGCUCUGUCGGUAAAGCCGUAAGGCGCGGUGGGACCGGGUUGCGGCCGAUUAGCUAGUUGGUGGGGUAAUGGCCCACCAAGGCAACGAUCGGUAGCUGGUCUGAGAGGAUGAUCAGCCACACUGGAACUGGAACACGGUCCAGACUCCCACGGGAGGCAGCAGUUGGGAAUAUUGGACAAUGGGGUAACCCCUGAUCCAGCUACCCCGCGUGAGUGAUGAAGGCCUUCGGGUCGUAAAGCUCUUUUAGAAGGGACGAAGGGAAACUUGACGGUACCUUCAGAAAAAGCACCGGCUAACUCUGUGCCAGCAGCCGCGGUAAUACAGAGGGUGCAAGCGUUGUUCGGAAUCAUUGGGCGUAAAGCGCGUGUAGGCGGCCGCCUCAGUCUGGUGUGAAAGCCCAGGGCUUAACCCUGGAAGUGCACUGGAUACUAGGUGGCUAGAGGAUAUGAGGGGGAGAUUGGAAUUCAUG